GCCUCUAUAGCUCAGUGGUAGAGCACUGGUCUCGUAAACCAGGGGUCGUGAGUUAAUGCA
rnacentral:tRNA from 1 species